UCUAUUUUUUUUGUUAAUAAAGAUGCCAUUUUCCCUAAAAUUUUCGUGCUGGCAGAUUCCUUUUAAUCUCUCUCCCAUUCCCUAUCAUGGGCACAUGUUCACAUUCUCUAAAAAGUCAGCUCGAGAAGAAAGGAUAUAAUUGAACAGGUGAUAAAGGCAAGGCUUCAUUGAAGGAAUGUGAAGAAUGAAAUGAAAGUGCGGGGUUGGGAUUUGGCUAUUGGUGUAAAAUCGUCAUACUGUGAACAAUAGCUAUAGAAUAGGCGAUAUUUAUAAAUUAAUCCUUAAUUUAGUUGUACAUAUUCUGAUUCAAGUUCAUUGUGCCUAAUUUGAAGAUUUAAAUCUGUAUAGUUAUUUUUCAGAACCAAUUCCAUCAGGGACUUACGUGAAGUGGAAUGGACUAGCAAAUCGGCACAUCUGGAGUUUGGUUAAGCAAGUCCAGACCCCAGGUCGCUGGGUUUGGAUACUAAGCCCAAUGUUUUAAGCCUGGGCCCACUAGAGUGAUGAUCAGCUAUUAUAUUCAUUUCCAUUUCUUCUGAUAGUAAUAGUUUAAUCAAUAUGAUUCUUUUCAAUUUGUUAAAGUGUUUGGUUCGAACAAGUAGUUUCUCAAUAUAUGCUUCAUUGACGAUUAUCCAA